GCCAUGUCCAACAGCCUCCGUAGACGCUCGUUCUCCUCCGCUGAACGGCCGAUUUCUUCCUGAUACUCCGCUAUAGUCUUCUCUACGACCACGAAUAUCUCCACAGCAGCUGCCGACAAACGCUCGGUGGAUGGACCGGAAACCCAGUGACAACACUUGGGUCUGUAGCUGCCCUUUUCCGGUGGGAAAGAGAAAAGGCCCUGUAUUUACCAGAAAAGGCAGCUCAUCCACCAUGGCAGAAGAUGAAGAUCCAGACUGUUGAUUGGGAAACAAGAACAAACAAUAAGGCCAACAGGAGUGCAUCCCUCAGUCCAUCCAGUGCAUGGACAUCCCGUGCCAGUGUGAUCCGGUUGUGGAGACUAAUGCAGGACAAGCCUGUAGACAGACAGACAUGAUAUGCGGAACAUCAGGCUCACCCCACGAGAAGCAGUGCAUGGUCAACGCCGCCCUCAGCAAGGAGAUCUGCUGGAAGUGAUGUACUUUCUCGCUCUGGGGGGCACAGCUGUGUGGAGAUAUGAAGAGAACAGAGGCUAGCUUGAGCAGCAGCGACAAUUUUAUCUGCAGAAAGGAGUAACAAAACUGGCAUUAUCACUUGUUUGUAUGCUAUGCUCCCACCAUGAUCUCACACACCUGCUAAAAUGCCACAUAGACAAGAGGUGGUAUGUUCCUAUAAAGGCUGAGAAACAACUGUUGUUUGUUGGGCUCUUGACUGUUGCACCUGCUCCAUUAUUGCAAAUCUUAUAAUAAAAUAACUUGUUUUGAGGAA